rnacentral:rRNA from 1 species
GACGAACGCUGGCGGCGUGCUUAACACAUGCAAGUCGAACGGAGAGGCCCUGCUUUUGUGGGGUGCUCGAGUGGCGAACGGGUGAGUAACGCGUGAGUAACCUGCCCUUGACUUUGGGAUAACUUCAGGAAACUGGGGCUAAUACCGGAUAGGAGCUCCUGCUGCAUGGUGGGGGUUGGAAAGUUUCGGCGGUUGGGGAUGGACUCGCGGCUUAUCAGCUUGUUGGUGGGGUAGUGGCUUACCAAGGCUUUGACGGGUAGCCGGCCUGAGAGGGUGACCGGCCACAUUGGGACUGAGGUACGGCCCAGACUCCUACGGGAGGCAGCAGUGGGGAAUAUUGCACAAUGGGCGGAAGCCUGAUGCAGCAACGCCGCGUGCGGGAUGACGGCCUUCGGGUUGUAAACCGCUUUCGCCUGUGACGAAGCGUGAGUGACGGUAAUGGGUAAAGAAGCACCGGCUAACUACGUG